rnacentral:lncRNA from 1 species
GCUUAAGUAGAGUCAUGCAGUUGGUCCUCCACUGUGUGUCCAGGUGAGGUAGCGUUUGUCUACCUCACAGAGCAGCAGGCUGAUGCUACAGGAGUAAGGAGGAGAUGCCAGGAGGGGGAUGGCAAGAGCAGGCACAGAAUCAUCCCAUGCAGUUCUUAUGGACUUCCCAGCAGGAGCAAGGCGAGAGGCAGCCAAGUUCUGGCCAGAAGGUUUUGUGUCUUUAGAGGAAGUGAGAGAGGCUUUGUCCACUCAAGAAAGAAGAGGAUAGAAGGACAAUGGCUUCUGAAAGUGAGUUUGUGGUGAUACCUGGGCUGGUUCUGAACAGUGGGUAGGUGGCAUCACAAAGGAAAGCUGUGGGUGAGACACAACUCUGCUUCUGAGAAUAAGAUGAAGGCAAAAUUAGUGGCACAGCUCUCAGUGGGCUGAGCAUCUGUUUCACUUGAGGGCGUGUGAAGGUGAGCGAAUCCAGAUCCCAAG